rnacentral:rRNA from 1 species
UACGUAGGGGGCAAGCGUUGUCCGGAUUCAUUGGGCGUAAAGCGCGUGUAGGCGGCUCGAUAAGUCCGGUGUGAAACCUUGGGGCUCAACCCCAAGCCUGCACUGGAUACUGCCGAGCUAGAGUCCGGGAGGGGAGAGCGGAAUUCCUAGUGUAGCGGUGAAAUGCGCAGAUAUUAGGAAGAACACCGGUGGCGAAGGCGGCUCUCUGGAACGGUACUGACGCUGAGACGCGAAAGCGUGGGGAGCGAACAGG